rnacentral:rRNA from 1 species
UACUGCCUGGGAACUACGAGGAAUACUUUAAAACCCGAGGGACUUGGCGGUGCAUUAAUCCACCCAGGGGAACCUGGCCCUUAAAUCGAUGAUCCGCGAACUUCUUACCUUCUCUUGUAUAAGUUUUCCUUUAGGGAGGACUUAUGUCAGUUUGCAUACCGCCGUUUUCAGCUUGUAUCGCGAGGUAAAAGAAACAGGCUAUUCAGUAAGUGAACGUUUGUCUGCGCAGGUGAAAUUUAUGUUUUACCCGGGCAAUGGGACUGCUAGGAAUUCAGGUAAAAGUGCAGCCUAUGGGAAGGGGGCAGCUGGGUUACAGUUGGUGUUUGAAUUGGAGUGUAGUCCGAAGUGGCUGUGUGAAAGAGUACUUGGAAGUAAUGACUUUAGGCAAUGGA